GCCAGGCAUGGUGGUGCACACCUAUGAUCCCAACCAUUCAGGGGGCCAAAGUGGGAAGAUUGCUCGAGCCCAGGAGUUGGGGGUCGUACUGCACUACACGGAUCAGGUGGCCAUCUGUAGGUUCAGACUCAGGGUGGUGACAUCCAGGGAGCAUGAGACCACCAGGUUGCCUAAAGAGGGGUGAGCUGGGCCUACUCAGAAACAGAGCAGGUCAAAACUCCCAGGCUAAUAGGUAGUGGAUGGUGCCUGUGAAUAGACACUGCCAUCCCAGCCUGGGCAACGUAGUGAGAUCCUGUCUUUU
rfam:Otolemur garnettii contig017320, whole genome shotgun sequence.